CGGAGAGCUCAUUCAGGAAUGAAAUCCUGAAUUUUUUCAGACAAAAAUGGGAGCUGAAGCCAGGUCUCCCACACUUGAGAAAUGCUCUAAACACAACAUUGCUGCAUAAGAGCAGUGCAGAAGGAAGGACAACACCACCACAGUUGUUUUGGGGGUGGAAACAGGUGUUCAGAACCCAAAUGCAGCACAGCUCCUCAUAUGCAAGGUUACAAUAAAAGGACACCUACUCUUGGGGCACUGAGGCCAGGCCUAAGGCCUGAACUUUAGCUGAAUUUAAGUUACCAGUUCCCCUGGCUUUGCAGAGAGCUUGGAAGUAAGAAAGGGAAUUAACUGGAUUUUGAAAAGAGACCCAAGGAAGAAUUUGAGUGCUUGAGAGCUGGUGGGAAGGCACAGUGGAGUUGGCACCCUGUGGAUGGGCCUGUCUUUCUGGAAGCUCUAUCUCCCUUUGGGGGUUCUCCAUAUUCCCACUUUACCCCUAGCAUCAAGUCUUUUUCUUCACAGAAUUACUAGUAUUUCAGUCUCGUGACUUCUCAGCCAACAUUGUGAUUGUUUUUGAUGGACUGACUCAUGGCCCUUGCACACCAGGGCUGGAAUAAGGUGUCAGGAUGACACCGGGCAGUAGAUGGGAACAGUGCACAGAGACACGAGUUUGAUUGAUGAUGGCUCCAUGCUGCAUAUGCUCAGGAACUUCAGAAAGUGAUAGAAAGCACCUGGGAAAAGUCCACGUUGAAGGUCAGAGCUGACAGAACCUUUAUAUACGUGGGAAGAUGCCAGUGAAAGAGCAAUAACUUUUAGGAAGGCUACAAGAAGUAAAAAGCUGAAAAAUACAA